GUUUUAUUUGAACAUCCACAUUUCUUAGCUUAGAGACAAUUAUAUUCCGUACACUUUUCUUCUCUCUCUCUUACAAUAUUUAGACUGGCCAAAAACCAGGGAAAAUGUCCUUGGACUGCAGUCAUUAUAAAAUUUUACUUAAUGCUUAUGAAAGCACUCAUGUGAAAAGCUUCAGCAUGAAGUGUAAUCACCACAUUCAGUUUCAAAGUUCAAAUGCCCAUUCCUAUGAUGGGUAAACACCUACCAUAGCGCAAAGAAGGAGAGUGAUUGUGGGUAAUGACAGAGGAGGAAAAGUGAAGGGGGUAACAGCUUCUCCCAGAGGAGGGGGUGGUCCCUGUUCCAUGCCCAUCUUGUCUCCUUAAACAGGAACAGCCAACAGGCCUACCAGUCCUUGUACUCUAUGCAGCUACUUCCCCUGCUGGAAAUGAGCAGCUGCCUUCUUCUCCCUAAGAAGCUGAGUCCAGUGAUGUGCUCAACAUCUGUGAUCCGUGCUCUGUGUAACAUUAACAAUUCUUCAACCCAUGAGGAGUCAUGCUUCCCAUGCUAGGAGAAUAGGAAAUAUAAAAGAAAAGUUACCAAGAGAACACUCAGUUCACUUCUAUAAGCGCUCCAUCUCCCCAGUUUAAUCAUUUACGAGAUUUCAGCUCUGAAGUGGAACAUGCCACAUGAUUUGUUAGGCAUCAUCUCUCCUCUUGAGUAGCUUUCCUUCUAAUACAUACCAUGCAUGUUUGUUUAAUUAGAUGCUUCAAGUUUGGGGAAAAGAAACUAUACCUGGAACAGAUGGUCCUGCAUUACAUAGGUUUAAGAAACUUCAAU
rnacentral:lncRNA from 1 species